UGGCGGACGGGUGAGUAACGCGUGAGAAUCUGGCUUCAGGUUCGGGACAACCAUUGGAAACGAUGGCUAAUACCGGAUGUGCCGUAGGGUGAAAGAUUAAUUGCCUGAAGAUGAGCUCGCGUCUGAUUAGCUAGUUGGUGGGGUAAGAGCCUACCAAGGCGACGAUCAGUAACUGGUCUGAGAGGAUGACCAGUCACACUGGGACUGAGACACGGCCCAGACUCCUACGGGAGGCAGCAGUGGGGAAUUUUCCGCAAUGGGCGAAAGCCUGACGGAGCAAUACCGCGUGAGGGAGGAAGGCUCUAGGGUUGUAAACCUCUUUUCUCAGGGAAGAACAAAAUGACGGUACCUGAGGAAUAAGCAUCGGCUAACUCCGUGCCAGCAGCCGCGGUAAUACGGAGGAUGCAAGCGUUAUCCGGAUUUAUUGGGCGUAAAGCGUCCGCAGGUGGCAGUUCAAGUCUGCUGUUAAAGGUCGGGGCUCAACCCCGAACAGGCAGUGGAAACUGAACAGCUAGAGUACGGUAGGGGCAGAGGGAAUUCCCAGUGUAGCGGUGAAAUGCGUAGAGAUUGGGAAGAACACCGGUGGCGAAAGCGCUCUGCUAGGCCGAAACUGACACUCAUGGACGAAAGCUAGGGGAGCGAAUGGGAUUAGAUACCCCAGUAGUCCUAGCCGUAAACGAUGGAUACUAGGCGUUGUGAGUAUCGGCCCUCACAGUGUCGUAGCUAACGCGUUAAGUAUCCCGCCUGGGG
rnacentral:rRNA from 1 species